GACAGAGGCCUCAAGCGUUAGGCGGAAUCACUGGGCUUAAAGCGUGUGUAGGCGGAUCGUUAAGUACCUUGUGAAAUCCCACGGCUCACCCGUGGAACUGCUGGGUAUACUGGCGGUCUUUGGGCCAACUAGGGGCAGCUGGAACAAGCGGUGGAGCGGUGAAAUGCGUAGAUAUCGCUGGAACGGCCGAAGGUGAAAACGGCUG
rnacentral:rRNA from 1 species